AAUAUUGCACAAUGGGGGAAACCCUGAUGCAGCGACACCGCGUGUGGGAUGACGGCCUUCGGGUUGUAAACCACUGUUAGGGGGAACGAAGUUCAGCCGGGCGAACAGUCCGGUUGGGUUGACGGUACUCCCAGAGAAAGCCACGGCUAACUCUGUGCCAGCAGCCGCGGUAAGACGGAGGAGGCUAGCGUUGUUCGGAAUUACUGGGCGUAAAGCGCGCGCAGGCGGUUUUGCAAGUCAGGGGUGAAAGCCCGGGGCUCAACCUCGGAACUGCCCUUGAGACUGCAGGACUGGAGACCGAGAGAGGAGAGUGGAAUUCCCAGUGUAGAGGUGAAAUUCGUAGAUAUUGGGAAGAACACCAGUGGCGAAGGCGGCUCUCUGGCUCGGUACUGACGCUCAUGCGCGAAAGCGUGGGGAGCAAAC
rnacentral:rRNA from 1 species